AGCGAACGCUGGCGGCAUGCCUAACACAUGCAAGUCGCACGGGGGGGCUUCGGCCUCCCAGUGGCGGACGGGUGAGGAACGCGUAGGGACCUGUCGAGGGGUGGGGGAUAACCGCGGGAAACUGCGGCUAAUACCGCAUGACGCCGCGGCGUGACAGCCGGGGCCAAAGGCGAAAGCCGCCCGCCGAGGGGCCUGCGUCCGAUUAGCUGGUUGGCGGGGUAGCGGCCCACCAAGGCGUCGAUCGGUAGCUGGUCUGAGAGGGUGAUCAGCCACACCGGGACUGAGACACGGCCCGGACUCCUACGGGAGGCAGCAGUGGGGAAUAUUGGACAAUGGGCGCGAGCCUGAUCCAGCAAUGCCGCGUGGGUGAAGAAGGUCUUCGGAUUGUAAAGCCCUUUCGGCGGGGACGAUGGUGACGGUACCCGCAGAAGAAGCCCCGGCUAACUUCGUG
rnacentral:rRNA from 1 species